GCUAAACAGCUAGCUUAACCGCCCAGACAACUAAAACAACAUUAAAAUACUUAACAAGACAACAACACAUAAACUAAAACAUUUUUCCACCUAAGUAUGUGAGACAGAAAAGGCAAUUACUAAGCUAUAAAAACAGUACCGCAAGGGAAUGCUGAAAGAGAAAUGAAACAAAUCAUUAAAGCACAACAAAGCAGAGAUUAUCCCUCGUACCUUUUGCAUCAUGAUUUAGCUAGACCCUUUGAGCAAAGCGCACUUUAGUUCAAAACCCCGAAACCAAGUGAGCUACCCCGAGACAGUCUAUCAAUUAGGACUAACCCGUCUCUGUGGCAAAAGAGUGGGAAGAGCUCCGGGUAGGGGUGACAAACCUACCGAACUUAGUUAUAGCUGGUUGCCUAGGAAAUGGAUAAUAGUUCAGCCUCGCUCUCCUUGCCUCAUAAAUAUUUAAGUCCACACGAGUCAAAGAAACACGCGAGAGUUAGUCAAAGGGGGUACAGCCCCUCUGAAAUAGGAUACAACCUUAUACAGGAGGUUAAAGAUUAUAUUAAACAAGAUAUAUCGCUCUAGUGGGCCUAAAAGCAGCCACCUAAACAGAUAGCGUUAAAGCUCCGGCAAACCAAAAAUCCAUUAUUCAAAUAAUUUAUCUAAGACCCCUAAUUUUACUAGGCUAUUCCAUGCUUACAUGGAAGAAACACUGCUAAAAUGAGUAAUAAGAAGGAACCCCCUUCUCCACAGCCUAAGUGUAUGUUAGAUCGGACUCUCCACUAACAAUUAUCGAACCCAAUUAAAGAGGGUAAUGUGAGCCCAUUAAACAACAAGAAAACACCACACAACUUAGUCGUUACCCCCACACUGGAAGGCAAACAAGGAAAGACUAAAAGAAAAGGAAGGAACUCGGCAAACCCAAGCCUCGCCUGUUUACCAAAAACAUCGCCUCCUGCAAAAAUCAAUGUAUAGGAGGUCCUACCUGCCCAGUGACAAGUUAAACGGCCGCGGUAUUUUGACCGUGCGAAGGUAGCGCAAUCACUUGUCUUUUAAAUGAAGACCUGUAUGAAUGGUAGAACGAGGGCUUAACUGUCUCCCUUUUCCAGUCAAUGAAAUUGAUCUGCCCGUGCAGAAGCGGACAUAAAAAUACAAGACGAGAAGACCCUUUGGAGCUUAAGAUAAAAGACCAACUAUGUCAAGAGCCAAAUAAAAUAGCUUAAACUAAAUAUCACCUGGUUAAUAUCUUCAGUUGGGGCGACUGCGGGAGAAAAUAAAGCUCCCACGAGGAUUGGGGCUAAUAACCUAAAACCAAGAAAGCCACUUCUAAGUCACAGAACAUCUGACCACUUAAGAUCCGGCCCUCAGCCGAUCAACGGACCAAGUUACCCUAGGGAUAACAGCGCAAUCCCCUUUAAGAGUCCAUAUCGACAAGGGGGUUUACGACCUCGAUGUUGGAUCAGGACAUCCUAAUGGUGCAGCCGCUAUUAAGGGUUCGUUUGUUCAACGAUUAAAGUCCUACGUGAUCUGAGUUCAGACCGGAGCAAUCCAGGUCAGUUUCUAUCUGUAAUGCCACUCUUCCCAGUACGAAAGGACCGGAAAAGAGGGGCCCAUGUCACAAACACGCCCCAUCCCUACUUAAUGACAACAACUAAAUUAAAUAAAGGGAAGGCACAACCCCGCAUCUAGACAAGAUU
rnacentral:rRNA from 2 species